AUUGAACGCUGGCGGCAUGCUUUACACAUGCAAGUCGAACGGCAGCGGGGAGGAGCUUGCUUCUCUGCCGGCGAGUGGCGAACGGGUGAGUAAUACAUCGGAACGUGUCGAGAAGAGGGGGAUAACCACCCGAAAGGGUGGCUAAUACCGCAUAAAUUCUGAGGAAGAAAGCUGGGGACCUAGGAAUAGGCCUAGCGCCUUUUGAGCGGCCGAUGUCGGAUUAGCUAGUUGGUGAGGUAAAGGCUCACCAAGGCGAAGAUCUGUAGCGGGUCUGAGAGGAUGAUCCGCCACACUGGGACUGAGACACGGCCCAGACUCCUACGGGAGGCAGCAGUGGGGAAUUUUGGACAAUGGGGGCAACCCUGAUCCAGCCAUGCCGCGUGUAUGAAGAAGGCCUUAGGGUUGUAAAGUACUUUUGUUAGGGAAGAAAAGUCAGCUGUGAAUAAUGGCUGAUACUGACGGUACCUAAAGAAUAAGCACCGGCUAACUACGUG
rnacentral:rRNA from 1 species